rnacentral:rRNA from 1 species
AGCUGCAGUCGAGAAUCUUCGCAAUGGGCGAAGCCUGACGAUGCGACGCCGUGUGAGCGAUGAAGGCCUUCGGGUUGUAAAGCUCUUUCGCUUGGGAACAAGAGAGGCUAAGUGAAUAAUCGUGGUCCUAAUUUGAGGGUACUWGGAAAAGAAGCACCGGCUAACUC